rnacentral:rRNA from 1 species
GACGAACGCUGGCGGCGUGCCUAAUACAUGCAAGUCGACCUUAGUGGCGAACGGGUGAUUAACACGUGGGUAACCUGCCCAUCAGAAGGGGAUAACACUUGGAAACAGGUGCUAAUACCGUAUACUGAUGGAUGGACCCGCUGUGCAUUAGCUAGUUGGGGAGGUAACGGCUCACCAAGGCCACGAUGCAUAGCGGGGCUGAGAGGGUGAUCGGGCACAUUGGGACUGAGACACGGCCAAAACGCCUACGGGAGGCAGCAGUAGGGAAGCGUCGACAAUGGACGAAAGUCUGACCGAGCAACGCCGCGUGAGUGAAGAAGGUUUUCGGAUCGGAAAACUCUGUUGUUAGAGAAGCGGUAUGUAACCAGAAAGCAACGGCUAACUACGUGCCAGCAGCCGCGGUAAUAC